rnacentral:rRNA from 1 species
GGACAGUAUGAACGGCUAAUGAGGGCCCAACUGUCUCAUACGACCACCCAAUGAAACUGAUCUCUCAGUACAAAAGCUGAGAUACCCAUACAAGACGAGAAGACCCUGUGGAACUUUAACUACACUAUCAACUCAAACCCAUACAGCCAACAAGACUGUCAUACCCCUAAGCUCAUUGAUAAAAGUUUAAGUUGGGGCGACUGCGGAGUAAAACACAACCUCCAUGAAAUACCCCUGGUUAACCAACCUAAAGAAACAUACCCAAGACCCAGUAACACUGAUCAACGAAACAAGCUACCCCAGGGAUAACAGCGCCAUCCUCUUUUAGAGUCCCCAUCGACAAGGGGGUUUACGACCUCGAUGUUGGAUCAGGGCCCCCCAGUGGUGUAGCCGCUACUAACGGUUCGUUUGUUCAACGAUUAAUGCCCUACGUGAUCUGAGUUUCAAAUCGAGACA